UGGGGAAUAUUGCACAAUGGACGGAAGUCUGAUGCAGCAACGCCGCGUGCGGGAUGACGGCCUUCGGGUUGUAAACCGCUUUUUCUCAUGACGAAGUUUUUUGACGGUAGUGGGGGAAGAAGCACCGGCUAACUACGUGCCAGCAGCCGCGGUGAUACGUAGGGUGCGAGCGUUGUCCGGAAUUAUUGGGCGUAAAGAGCUUGUAGGCGGUUUGUCGCGUCGAUAGUGCAAACUCAGUGCUUAACGCUGAGCCUGCUGUUGAUACGGGCAGACUAGAGGAAGGUAGGGGAGAAUGGAAUUCCCGGUGGAGCGGUGGAAUGCGCAGGUAUCGGGAGGAACACCGGUGGCGAAGGCGGUUCUCUGGGCCUUUCCUGACGCUGAGAAGCGAAAGCGUGGGGAGCGAACAGG
rnacentral:rRNA from 1 species